rnacentral:rRNA from 1 species
UGACUAUGCGACGCCGCGUGUGCGAUGAAGGUCUUCGGAUUGUAAAGCACUGUCAGCCGGGAGGAAUCUCGGGGGUUUGAACAAAGCCGCCGGGUGACAGUACCAGCAGAGGAAGCACCGGCUAAAUACGUGCCAGCAGCCGCGGUAAUACGUAUGGUGCGAACGUUGUUCGGAAUCACUGGGCAUAAAGAGCACGUAGGCGGUCGGGCAAGUCCAUUGUGAAAUCCCCCGGCUUAACCGGGGAACUGCAAUGGAUACUACUCGGCUUGAGUGCAGGAGGGGAGAGUGGAAUUCCUGGUGGAGCGGUGAGAUGCGUAGAUAUCAGGAGGAACGCCGGCGGCGAAGGCGACUCUCUGGUCUGCCACUGACGCUGAGGUGCGAAAGCUAGGGGAGCAAACGGGAUUAGAUACCCCGGUAGUCCUAGCCCUAAACGAU